AGAUCAGAUCUCGCACACUCUCUCUCACUCUUCUUCAUCCAUUCUUUUUCGUCUACAGCAGCAGCAAGUCGCGGCUCCAACAACAACUUCGUCACAUCGUCUUCUUCAUCCAUUCUUCUUCCACGUCGUCUCCGGCGACCGCGACUAUAUGGCGACGAGCGUAGCAAGUUUGGCUUCAAAUCCUUCGAUCUACAAGAUAUGUUGAAAGGAAGAAGGAGAUGGAAAGCUCAUCAACAGGCCAUCAGCAAUGGCCGCAAAAAAAAGAGAAAGCCAAGAACCCCUGCAACUCCGGGUGAAGAUGCAGAAGUGAUAGCUCUGUCACCGGCGAGUUUGACGACGGCAAGCAGAUUUUUCUUCAACGUUUGCGGAAAAGAGUUUCAAAGAGAGCAGAACUUGGAGCCUCUUUUUAUAGUUUUUUUUUUUUAAAUUUAAAAUUGAUACGAGG